ensembl:lincRNA
CAGCCCCUAAGAAGGCGUGGCUACAGCUUUCCCUACAACCUACGACUCUCAAAGAUCAGAUGUUCUCUCUGGCCUCUGCAGGAACCAGCACUCCUAUUUACAUACCACAUACAUAUGCACACAUAUAUGCAUAAUAACAAAUAAGAAAACAGAUGUUAAAAAGAGUUAUACUUUUCAUCUUUCUAGAAUUACACUUCAGUUGUCAUAAUUUGUCCAGGAAUGAGAUAAUGGGAUGGAUUGUUUUGACCCAACCUCUGACAUCAGCCCAAUCAAAACAAGCAAACAAAACACCUCCAUCUGUAAGUAGCUUUUCUUUUUUUAUUUUUAUUUUUUGUAAAAUCUAGGUUAACUUGGUUGAUGUUUAGGUGACAUCAAGCUUGAAUUCCACACUAAUUUUCAUAUUUCUUUCACAUUUAGCUUAGUAAUUGAAGACACUGAUUCUGAAGUAACUUCAAGUGAGAGUUGUUACUGGUAUUUUCACCCAUAUUUGCCUCCCUUCAAGAACAAACUAAGGACAUUUUGCACAAAGCAGGUUAGUAACAGAGUUUCUUGUUUUGAUUACUGUUUAAAUUAAUUCCUUGCUCUCUGUGACAAAGAUUUGGUUUCCCACAAACACACAAACAAAGAGAUUGUCAAAUAGAUACUUCAUUACAGGAUCUUGUAAGCAGCCAUGUCUUGGUGAGAAGAGUGUGGUAGAACACAGAAAAACCUCAGCCAUUUCCCCAGGACCUAGUAGCUGGAAGGCUUUUCUGAAUCUUACCUGUCAGGCAAACACUGGAUUGUUGUUUACCCAAGGGUUUCAUGCCUGAAUGAAGCUGCUUUUUUGGUGUGUGCGAGCGUGUGUGUGUGUGUGUG